rnacentral:rRNA from 1 species
AUUGAACGCUGGCGGCAUGCCUUACACAUGCAAGUCGAACGGCAGCACGGGAGCAAUCCUGGUGGCGAGUGGCGAACGGGUGAGUAAUAUAUCGGAACGUGCCCAGUCGUGGGGGAUAACGUAGCGAAAGUUACGCUAAUACCGCAUACGAUCUAUGGAUGAAAGCGGGGGAUCGCAAGACCUCGCGCGAUUGGAGCGGCCGAUAUCAGAUUAGGUAGUUGGUGGGGUAAAGGCGUCACCAAGCCGACGAUCUGUAGCUGGUCUGAGAGGACGACCAGCCACACUGGGACUGAGACACGGCCCAGACUCCUACGGGAGGCAGCAGUGGGGAAUUUUGGACAAUGGGCGCAAGCCUGAUCCAGCAAUGCCGCGUGCAGGAAGAAGGCC